UUAGACCUAGCAAAAAGAAGAUCCCCCCUUCUCUGAAAAAUAGAGAAUAACAGCGCAGCUCCCUCCCAUAUCAGAAAAACCUAGCAUCGCCUCACACACAUAGAGAGAACAACGAAAAAAUGGCACCUCUCUCUCUCUCUCCCUACCUCCCUUCGUGACUCUCACAAACAUCGACAAAAAUAGCUAGAAAGUAAGUGGGAGAUUCAAUAAUCUGAGUUCUAGAAAAAUCAAAAAAAAAAAAAGAAAAAGAAAAGAAAAAGGAAUGAGGUUUUGGAAAAAUGAAAUAAAGGAAGAACAACAAAGCUUUGGUAUCCUACUUCGGAUUUUGGAUUCAAUCAGUUCAAAAUCGAACCGGAAUGGUUUGCUGCUGAUUUCGAGCUCAUUUUCCUAGGUUUCAAAUUUUUCUUCCUCUGUUUUGGGGCUUGUUUGCCGCUGUCGAUUGCUGAAAUUUUUGCUGAGCUUCGAUCGAGUUUGUCUCGAUUUUUGGUAAGUUUAUUCAAAUUUUCUUGUUCAACCAGAUACUCUCCUAUGAAUUCUGGGUUAUAUAUUUGAUGGGAGCACAUUUGUGUUAAAGAAAAGUUCUUUUUUUUUCAAUUAUGAAAAUCAAUGUUAGAUUUCAAUGUUUGCUUACCUUCAGAUAUCGUUUUAUGUUUCAAGUUUAGUAUAUCAUAAUUCAAGUCUAUUUGUGAUAUCUCUGUACUUUGAUAUUUUUUUAUUUUUCUGUCGUUCAAUUGGGAAUUCUCGGUACAAUAGUUUUAUGUGGUUAUUAAUCAGUCUGCAAAAAAAUGAGUACUAUUGAUUGUAUUGGCAUCGUAAAGCUGUUAGGCUAAAAGGAAACAUUUGCUAGCAUUUUAGAUGUUUUCAAAGGUGUUUGGUUUCAUGUUAUUUACUAAGUAGCUGCUACCUGCAAAAAUCAAGUGGAUUAAUACAGAAGGCACUUUUUAGUUGCUAUUGAUGAAGAAUUAAUACCAAAGCUGAUUUACUCUGUAUAAAUUAAAAUUGAAGGAAAAGCUGAGAGCAAAAUUAGACAUGUUUUUAAUUGCCAACCUUAUUUCAUGUAUGUCAUUGCUUUUUGGCUAUGGCAGCACCCAAAGAAAUAGGAUCAGGUAUGGAAUGGAGGUUCAUUGAUUGCAAUAUACAUGAUUAGGAAAAGAUUAAAGUUAUUUUGCCUACUUUGAUUUGUGGGAUGAACGCUCAGGAAUGUUUAUGUUAGACAACAAUUCUAUAGUUAUGCUUAUUAUUAGUAUAUAAAAAAGAAGAUAGAGGAUUAAAGAAAGCAAUAAGAAAAAAAAGCAUUUAGACUACAUGGGAGUAAGAACCUCUUACUUCUACUGGUUUGGGCGACUUUGCACACUAGAAUUGCAUUGAGAGUUGAUAAAGGUGCAUUGAAAUUCUAUUUGAGAAUUAAUUUAGAAAUUGAUUGAAGAGUACCAGUAUCGUUCUUUUUUGCUUUAGAAAUAAAAAUGGCUAUGGUCAUAAAGAUCGUAAAUGUUACCUCACGAAUUAGAUAAGUUAAUAUUGAACUUUUUUUUAUUAGAUAAUUUAAUAUUGCUAUGUUCCUUCGUUAACCUAGUCUUUUAUUGUACUCUUAAUUUUCUCAUUGAGCCUGCUUUAAUGCAAUAUAGAGGUUAGCUUGAUAUGAGCUUAAGGUAACUCAAGAAUAUAUGGAUCGGCCUUUAAUAUUACUAGCUUGACAAUCCUUCCAUAAUAAGUUUACUUCUUCCAUAACUCUUGGCCUCACAUUAAUCUCAAACUUUAAGAAAUAAACAACUUUAAACAUUCGUAGUUUUCUUUAGGCGCGCUAUAACAAACCAUCGUGACUAUGGGUACGGUUCCCGUGACAUAGUUAUGAUGCCUAAUUUUCAAAUGCGAGUGUGCAUUUCAUGUGAUCCAAUUAUAAUAACUUCGAACAUUAAUAAAAUAAAUAUAUCGCGAAUUACGGGUGCAUUUCAUGUAGCGUGGUUUGCAGUGUGCCCCAAAACGGCAAGUGUACGACAAUCGUAACUUGUUCAAGAAAUAAUUCUAUAAAUUCCCAAAGUGGUUAAACAUAAUUAAAAGCGGUUAUAAAGUUAAAAAUGCACAAUGGGUUUAAAACAUGUAAUCAAUUAGAUAAUUAGGCCAAUUUUAAUAGUUUAAGCGACUGUGCUCGAACCACGGAACCCGGAAGUGCUUAACACCCUCUCCCGGGUUAACAGAAUUCCUUAUCUAGAAUUUCUGGUUCGCAGACUUUAAAUCAAGUCAGAUUUCCUCGAAUUGGGAUUCUGAAAAUAAACCGGCAACUUGGGACACCAAAAUAAACUAUUCCAAGUGGCGACUCUGAAAAAAAUAAAAUAAUCCCAUUUCGAAUAAUGUCACUUUAAUUGGAAAAACUCUCUUAUACCCCCUCUCGGGUGGUAAAAAGGAGGUGUGACAAUAUGUGUUCCUAUCACGUUUCAAUGCUGCCUUGCCUUCUGAUGAGAAUUAACAUGUUUGUCUUAUGAUGCUAAGAUGUACAAUUACCCUAAAUUGGACUUCUUAGGUCUCAACCUAUUAGUGUUACUUUCUGUCAAACCAUGCAAAUCUAUUCCUAUCCCUAACUCUCUCAAUAUGUGUUUGUUAUCCGCUACUUGCUAAAUGUUGAAGUUCUAUUGAACAAGUCCUACGACCUGCUUGACUGGCUAUUCUGUUUGAUCAACUUGGCUAUGUCUACUUUAGGAUAUGAGUAUAUCCCCCAACUUCUGUCCAAUCUACUUACCUGCAAUUUAUGCUAUUUUGAGCUCUUCAUUCUUAGCCGGCUGAAAGCCAAGGCUACCUAGGUUUUAUUGUUGGCCUCCCUAGUGUAAGCACUGCUCAAGGUCCAAUGGAGACCCUUGUGAACUCUGACACACUAGGGCUUGGUCUUUAGUCACUCCCUUAAUCUCAAAAUUGUUACUAUUAAUUCUACUUCCCCCUUUUAUGUGUUGUAUACCUGAAUUGACUGAUUUAAAUGGUGCAACACUUGGUGCUAUGGUUGAGUAAAUUGGUUCUGGACUCCUCUAUGAAUCCCUAAGGUGUGUAUUAAAUGUGGCUCUUUGUUGAAGGCCUGGGUAUGCUGUGUAAGAGAUACUAAAGGCCCAGGCAAUGCUGGGUAUUUUUAUUUAGGCUUGUUGUAGGCUUAUUAUCACUAUUAUGUAACAUUUGUACUUUUUACUCAUUAUUGGGACUGUAAU
rnacentral:lncRNA from 1 species